UGUUUUUUGGAGGCUGAAGAAUGGGUGGAGGCCAAAGAAUGGAGGUUAAAAAAACUGGAAGCUGCAGAGUGGAGGCCAAAAAAAUUGAACGCCAUUUUUUGGAGCCUGCAGAGUGGAGGACGUUUUUGGAGCUUGUUGGAGGCCCAAGAAUGGAAGCUGAAGAAUGGCAGCUGAAAAACUGGAUGCUGGAUAGUUGAGGAACUCUUUCAGAGAACGUUUUUUGCAGGUUAAAAAAUCAGAGGCCGAUGGAUGGAAAUGGUUGGAGGCCACGGAAUGGAGGCUGAAAAAUUAGAAGCCAGAUAAUGGAAUUCAUUUUUGGAGGCUAUUUUAUGGAGGCUGAAGAAUGGUGCCUGCAGAAUAGAGAACGCUUUCUGGAUGCUGUUCAUUGGAGGUCCAGGAAUGGAAGCCAAAGCAUGAUGGUUGAAAAAUUGGAUGCCAUUUUUUGCAUGUGGAGGAAUGGGAGCUGAACAAUGACAGUUGAAAAACUGGAGGCUGAAGAAUGGAAACCACGAGAGGGAGAACAUUUUUUUGGAAACCAUUUGUUGGAGGCCUAACCAUGAAAGUCAAAGAAUAGCUGAAGGAUUGAAGUUAUUUUUUGGAGUCUGUUUUUGGAUGCUGUUUUUAUAGGCUAGUUUUGGAGGCUGAAAAAGAGGAGCUGUAGCAGAAAUGCUAAGUCACAGCUUGAACCAGUGAUUGAGCACCUGGUAGGAAGGCAAGGCCCACCAAGGGGAGCUCGGGUGUACACAACGCAUCUGAGUGACCAGAAGGGCUGGAGCCAGGAUCCACCCCUUCCCAGACCUCAUUUAGGGGUUGGCAGGGGAGUUGAGAGCAUCUUUUGAAUUUGCUUUUGAAGGAUAAAAUGGACUCCAUGCCCAAGCUGAAGAUCUUUGUGAUGUUGCUGUCUCUGGUUACUUUCACAGCCAUGGUGAUACUGAAUGCUGGGAAUGCCACUGGGCUUUUCAAAGGUCUGUUCCGGACAACCCCUGGCAACAUCUCAGAGAAGUACAGCACUGACUUCACACCGGCCGGCUGGACUUUCCUCAUCUGGAAUGUCAUCUAUGCCUGGCAGCUGGCGUGGCUCCUGUAUGCUCUGUCAGGGAUCUGCCGGAGAAAUGAACUUGGAUACGUCUUCAUGAAGCCGGACUUGCUGCCAAUACCUUUUUAUGUGGCAUGGAUUCUGAAUAAUGGCCUCAAUGUUGGAUGGCUGUUUCUAUGGGACAGAGAAUACCUCCUCCCAGCCCUGCUGUUGCUGGCAGCCCUCACCUUUACCACAGGUGCUGCUCUCUUCAUCUCGCACAGAGCCUUGAGUAUCCAUUCCACGUGGUUCAUGAAGGGUCACCAAGCUGAUCUCUGGCUCAUCCGGAUCCUAGUGCAGAAUGGGCUGGCACUGUAUGCCACAUGGACCACCAUCGCCACUCUGCUGAACUUUGCUGUUGUGUUGAUCUACAAGUGGGACGUGUCCAAUGAGACAGCAACGACUGCCUGUCUGAGCAUCCUUACUCUCAUGCUUGUCAUGUGGUUUUGCCAGGAGAACUUCUUUCUCGAUAAGUACGUCCGUUAUAACCUCACCAUCUACCCAGUGGUCAUAAUAGCUCUGACUGGCAGCAUGUGCAAGGACUUCUCGGUAUCCUCCCCAACCACCAACGGCGUUUUUAUAGUUGUACUGCUGGCACUGACUUGUUUCAUCUUUGCUGUUCGGCUGGCAUUAGUCAUAUGGAAGCACAGCAAUGAACCAGUGGAAGCACCAGCACCACCACCACAGCCAUCAAGCACAGCAGCCUGAGACCUCUGGCAUGGUGAUGCUAUGUCAGAUGCUUUAGAGGGAGAAGUAAGAGCUGAGCAUCCUGCUUCCACUGGUCCUUUCUUCCAGUAGCAAUUACCCUAUUUUUUUAGCUAUUUUUCUGUUUUCUUUUUUUUUUUUUUAAUAUGCUGGAUUAGUAAGGCUUGUGCCUGCAAACCCAUCCUCCUCCCCUGUUCUCUGAGCUCAGCUAUUUGCAGCCCCACCUCAAACAUGCACCUUCCUCUGUUUCAUUUUUGGUCAGUGGAGGAAGAGGCCCUUUGGAUGAGUAGCUCUGUAUACAUUUGUGAUGACAGAGCUGCUCCUUCCAGUGUGAGGGGGGCUGUCAGCAGAUGCUUGGCACGGAGAGUUGCCCUCACCCUUUCCUGGGAGCUAUGGUGGGCAUGGGAGGAGGGAUGGCUGAAUACUUCUGACACAGCUGCAAGUCUUCGGCCUAUUUCAGGUUGCUCUAACUCUAGGAACUGACAACCUGUUCAUUUCUCGGCACACAGUAUUAUCUCUGUGACUUUCUUACUGAAGCUUGUCACUGUGUCGGUGCCUCCAUCCAUGGCCCCAAAGUAACAGCAGAUCUGUGUCCCCUACCCCACUCCUCCUUUCAGACAGGGGAGAUCCAGGUGAUAUGGGAGCAGUGGGCUACUUGUCCUGAGCUGUGCCCAGUUGGUCACUGCCUCCUUGCAGCCCUUCUGCUGGGAGAUCAGCCAUUCAGACACCACCAUACCUGAUGGAGGGUGGAGCCUGCUGCUUCAUGGAACGCUUCUUGCAUUCUGAGCUGGGGUAGAGUGAAUUCUUCCUGGAUCAGUGCUUUAUAAUGUGGCUUCACCACUGUGGGCUUACUUUGGGAAGCCUGAAUGAGUACUGACUGGAUUGUCAGACCUCCACCUCUAUUUGCUGUGCCUACUAGAUUUGAUGGUGCCUUGUUGGUGUCUGGAAAGUCUUCCUCGAUGACUGGUGCUUGGAAAUGCUGAAUAUCUUGCAGUACUAUUACGAAGGUGAAUUCUACUAAAACAACAUGUUAUUGUCUACAUUUAAUGAAGAGCAAAGUCUGUAUUAUGCUGUUCUUGUCAUUCCAUCACAUUUUUAAAUAAAGCGGCAACUGCCAACACUUUUCAUGCAACCACAGAAACAUUAAGGCUGGAAAAGACCUCUAGGAUCAUCUAGUCCAACCACCAACCGUUCCCACCAUGCCCAUUGCCACAUCUAGCCCUUCUACUAACUCUGCAUGAAGCUCUAAGUAAAUGACUUUUGGAAAUCAUGCUUAUAACAGGGGACCUGACUUCUACUUUUCCUGCAUCUGCUUUGCUAUCUGUGGUGCAGGGUUAGGACCUCUUGGCUUUAAACGAGCUGAAAGGAGCUCCUCACUCCUCAUUAUAAGUGCUGUAGCACCACGUUCAUCUUGUGCAGACCUCCCAGCAAGGAAUCCCCUGAUGACUGUCAUGAAAUGCUGGUGCUGAGUGAGCCCCUGGGAUGGCCCCUCACAAACAAGCUGCUGGCUCCAAGCUGCCUUCCACCACCAUUCCCUGGAGCUGGGGCAGGCAGACAUUCCCACAGCACAGUGCUCCCUGCCAGCAUUGGGAAAAGCAGCUUUCCUUGCAUCCAUGGCAGGAACAGGAGCCUAAAAAUAUCAUCACCCUGCCUGCCCCUUUCCUUUUAGCUGCGGGGAGAGCAGGGCUGAAAACUAGCGGUGUAAGCCUUCCCAUUUGCUAUGUGCUAUUUUUAAAGGUUGUUUCUUUCUGAAAUGCCUUGUUUCCACUUGUUUUCUAGAACCAGAAAUACCAAUGAUGUGCAUUUUCCCCCACAACAGAUCACUCUUCCAACAACGCUGCGUUUCACGAAGCCACGAGCCUGCCAACUUUUUGGCACAAAUAGUCCGCCUGGCCUUUGUUUCCAUGAGCAAUUAUGGGAUGGGGUGAAUUUUACUGGAUUUAAAAAUUCUUGGAAAGCUGAUGGCAUUAAGAACCCAAAGCCUGAAAAAAUGGGUUUGUUUCUAAAACCAAUAAUUCCAAGCCUUGGCAAGAGCCUGUGUGUCUCUCUUAGGCCAGUGCAGGGUGCAAGCUGGAAUAAAACAAAAUUAAAUUGAGGCUGCCAGGGAGGAGAAGUAGAGUCAUAGGAUAGACUCAGAAUCAUGGGGAAAGACCACUAAGCUCACCAAGUCGGACCCCAACCCAUCCCCAUCGUGCCCACUGACCACGUUGCUCAGUGCCGUAUCUUCAUAGCUCAUGGAUGCCUCCAGGGAUGGUGACCUGCCCACUCCCUGGGCAGCUGUGCCACUGCCUCACCACUCCUUCAGAAGGGAACAGGAGCAACCUCUCUGGGGAGCAUGGUGAAGAUCACUGGAUAAAAGCGCCAGAGACAUACAGCAAUGAUGAAAGGGAUACGCACCCUUUGCUAUGCAUGCAGUCUAAACAGGCUUGGGCCAUCCCGAGCCCUUUGAAAACUGUUAGAUGUUUUAAAGCUAAAUAUUUAUUUUAUCUGUGCAGAGCCGGGACAGCCCCGUGUCGAGAGAUUAGCACAGCUCCUUCUGCCAAAGGCAUCUCGGCGCGGAGUCGCAGGCUUGGGUGCAACUCACACAUGGGCUGAACAUGUGGGAAAAUGAUGCUGGAGGAGCCCAGGGUCCUGACCCUGCCCCAGCAGAGCCCUGGCAGCAGCAGGCAGCAGCCCCAUGAGUGUGCCAUGGGCUCCCCCUGCACUCUUCACCUCCAAGCCCUGAAUAUCCACGCAGGAAAGCUGUGUUUUUUCUUGCCUCUUUGGGAACAAAUGAGCUUAAGGAUGCUUGCCCGGUACUUAACCCAUUGAGAAAAGAGCUUGCUUGCUUGGGAUGGGUCCAGUUUGGAGUGCAGGAAGUGAUGGUGAUGUGAUCUAGAGACUUGGUUUCUCUUGAUGUUGUUCUAACAGCUUAAAAAAACAGACUGGACUGGAAAUAAUUGAACUUAAGAGACCCAAGACAUGAAUUAGAGAGAAUAAAUAGCUCGUGUUUGUGCCCAUGCUCAAGAGCUGCCUUGCAGAACGGGGUCACCAUGUAGCUGGUGGGGCUGUGGGCCUUAGAGGUGAUCAGAGGUCCCAAAUCUGGUGUGGGCUUUGCAAGGUCUCCAAUGCAGGGUGGACCUUUGCAGUCCAUGCCCAAACUGAACAGGCACUGUGCAUGGACUAACCAGUACCCAUGUGUGAAUUCAUUGGGUGCUCAUGCAAAAGCAAAGAGGGAGCGUGGAUGCAUGUGGGUUUGGUGCUAAUGCAUGGAUUCCUCUGGUGCAGGAAUUCAUUGGUUGCUCGUACUUGAGCUCUGUGGGUGCUCAUGCAUGAAGUAAUUGGGCUCAUACAUAAAUUAAUUGGGUGCUCAUGCAUCAGCUAAUUGGGUUCUUGUGAACGAAUUAAUCGGUUGUUCUUGCAUGAAUUAAUUUGGUGCUUAUGCACGAGCUGUUUGAGCUCUUGUGCAUAAAUUAAUUGAGCACUCAUGCAUGAGUUAGAUGAGUGUUCAUGCACAAACAAUAAUCAGGUGCUCAUGCAUGGAUUAUUUUGGCACUCGUGCAGGAGUUAACGAGGCUGCAACCCCCGCUGUUGAUGCCCACUGCCCCGCUGACCUGCGAUGACCGAGCUCCAUUCCAAUGCAUCACAUCACAUCCAUUUGCCAAGGGUGCAGAGCACCAUCUAGUGAAUAUCGGUGAGGAAACCAUCGCUGCAAACCCUGAGAGGCUCAGGGUGAACCAGACAGCUAAAUCAACAUUACCACUGUUUAGUUUUUUUUUCUCUCUCUCUUUCUUUUAAGAUGCAUGACCUCUCCCUACCUGCAACUUGAGCCCAAGUAGCUGUAGAGCUGCAGUGCCCUUGAAGAGCCUGGGAGAGGCCGCAGCCCAGCGACCUGCCACCUGCAGUCACUCUAAUUAAAACCUCCAGGAUGAGUUCACUUCUCUUGAUUUUUUUUUCAUGGACGUGUUUGAAAUCUCCCAUUGCUUUGGGCAGUCUGUGCUGUAAUGAAG
ensembl:lncRNA